rnacentral:rRNA from 1 species
UACGUAGGGCGCAAGCGUUGUCCGGAAUUAUUGGGCGUAAAGAGCUCGUAGGUGGUUUGUCGCGUCUGCCGUGAAAACCCGAGGCUUAACCUUGUGGCUUGCGGUGGAUACGGGCAGACUAGAGGUAGGUAGGGGAGAAUGGAAUUCCCGGUGUAGCGGUGAAAUGCGCAGAUAUCGGGAGGAACACCGGUGGCGAAGGCGGUUCUCUGGGCCUUACCUGACGCUGAGGAGCGAAAGCGUGGGGAGCGAACAGG